CUGACUUUAGACUAGACCAAUUUGUUAACCUCAGAAGUGGAGGACACUUAUUCACAUCGACAAAUACACUAAUAAAAGUUGUUUAUAGCUUGAAAACAACCAUAAAUCAUAAUCGAUGUUCUAAAUAAUAAUCAAAUAAAUACAAAUAAUUCAGAAUAUGGUUAGUACUUAGUCAUUUUUUACUAUACAUGCCUAUCAUAAAUAUGUAUUAUUUUUUUUUUUAUUUUUAAUACAUAGUUAUGAAUGGAGUAAUUUUUGAUGGAAUUGGGUUUGGGUCUAAAGUUGGCCGUACGGAUCAUG